AUGGCACUGCCUUUGGACCACAGAACCACCAUAGUUCCGUCCUGCAUGUGGCUUCUGCUCUUGCUCUUCUGGCCCCCGGUGUGCCUUUCGCUCCACCUUCCUCCACCCGAUGCUCCUCGUGAUUCUGCUCUCAGUGCAGGCCCCACCAGUGUCCCCUCCCCUCUUCUCCAAAGGUGGGGACCCCGUGAGCUCUCCUUGAAGGCCUCAUUUUUGUGUGUUUUACUUUUAGGAGGGGUCUUCUCUCAGCCAGCCAGUCUGUCCCAGGGUGGUGGAGAGGUUGACUCAGAACUGACGCGUGGAGACGGAGACGGGAAGCAGUGCCUCAUUUUGCUGGCAUGGAUUGUGGCAGAGAGAGCCUGGUUCUGGAGACCCAGCCAAGUCGGCAGCUUCCUGAUCCUGGAGAGGUGGCAGCUCUCUCGCUGAGCCAGGGUGACGCGGGGAGACUGUUGUUCCUGGAAGCCUGCCUGGUACCUGCAGCUCUGAUCCCCCCCAACAAUUCCGUGCACUCUCCAGCCCUUCAGAAACCCCCUUUGGCUUGAACUAACUAGAGUGGAUACUGUUAUCCCCAGUUAACCCCCUGGCUAAUACAGAUGGAGCUAAGAUGGGAUGGGAGGGUAGAGGGAUAAGAGGAUGAUGAGAUGGGGGUGGGGAGAGUGGUAGGGGGUGGGAAGAAAUGUUCUGAUGUAGUAGAAGAGUCUAGAAAGAGAUAUGGAAAGUUGGCAAAUAUUUCAAAUAAUGGCUACCACUUACUGUGUCUGUACCAAGUGCCUUAUUUUCAACCCUUUCAAAUGUGUCAGGCCUUGUUGUUUAGCCACUUAGUCAUGUCUAGCUAUUUUGUGAUCCCAUGGACUGUAGCCCACCAGGCUUCUCUGUCCAUGGGAUUUCCCAGGCAAGAAUACUGGAGCAGGUUGCUAUUUCCUUCUCAAGGGAUCUUCCUGACCUGGGGAUCAAACCAGCAUGUCCUACAUUGCAGGUGGAUUCUUUACCACUGAGCCACCAGGGAAGCCCACAGCUGAGGAACUAGGCUCAGAAUGGUUAAGCAAGUUGCGUAAGGUCCCAAAGCCUUCAACAGUGAAUCAGGAAUUUGAAUCCAGAUCCUUUGUGCUCAAGGCUCAAGAUCUCUCCACUUUUUCCCUUUGCCCAGACCAGCUCUGCUUGCAGAAAGGAGGAGAAGGGAGGUCCUUUCCUUUUCCUUUUCCUCCGCUUUGCUUCCCACUCUCAGAGCCCAGAUGUUCUGCAAGUCUGAGUCACCCUGCAGUUUACCUGCGUCUGUGCUCAAAAGGUUAGAUGGGCCAUUCAUUCUUCUGGAACAGCACCUACAUUAGAAAACACUGACAUAGUGGGGGAAAUUUCCAUAAUAGACGACAAACUGCCAAGAGUCCCUCACUGAGGGGCUGGGGUUACAGCAGCUAUUGCUGUAUUCAACAACUGUGCAAUUUGAAUUUUUUACAAAAAGCAAAUUGUGUGUCUUUUGUAGCUAUACAUCACAAUUAGCACCCCCAACAAAUGAUGGGAAAGCAACAAAACAUAAAUUGAGGUUCUUACCAGAUGAUGGGAUGAUUGGGGAUUUUUAUUUUCUUCUUUAUGCGUUUCUGCAUUUAAACAUAUUUCUAAAAUGAGCAUGGACUCAAGUUACUUUUAGCUGCAAGGAACAGAAAACCCUUCCUCAAGCUGGAUUGCACAAUGCAGACAUUGACAAGUGCAAAUGAUGGGAAAUCUAGCAGGAAGGGAGCCCCAGGCAAGAGGUACAUUCACCAGUGAUCUGCUCUGCUCCCUCCACCUCUCCUUUCUGUGGCCUGCCCCCCCACCUCCGCCUCAUCAAAGGCUGCUUCCCCUUGUGGGCACAGCGCAGCUGUCACAGUCCCAAGAAUCAGAGUGCACAAAGCAGUGUCCAGACAUAGAAAUGGGCCCAUUUUGUUUCAAUGUCUCCUUUUUAGAAUGCAGAAGUCCUUCCCAAAACCCCUGACAGACUUCCUUGGGGGCUCAUUGGUCAGAACUGGGUUACAAGCCCACUCCUAACCCAGUCCCUGGGAGAAGGACUGCCUUAGACUUGCCUGGUCUACCUGCUGGAGCUGGGGCAAAAGCCAGCUUCCCCUGAAGCCCCCUGCAUGUGGAGGACAGUGGGUACCUGAACAGAACCGGGCUUUGGGAAGGAAGACAUGGUUAGCGGAUGCUGUGUAGACAGUCUGCUGUAACAUAUACUAUUUUAUAAUUUUUUAAAAAUCUCAUUGAUAUUUAAAAUGUUUAAAUUACACUUGGACUUCCCUAGUGGUCCAGUGGUUAUGAAUCUGCCUGGCAAUGCAGGGGACACAAGUUCAAUUCCUAGUCCAGAAGGAUCCCACUUGUUGCAGGGCAGCUAAACCCAUGAACCACAACUAGAGUCUGAGCCCCAGAGCCUGUGCCCACAGCAAGAGGAGCCAAGCAAUGAGGAGCCUGCACACCACAACCCCUGCUCUCUGCCACUAGAGAAAGCCCUCGAGCAGCAAAGAAGACCCAGCACAGCCAAGUACUAAAUAAAUAAAUGAAAUCAAUUACCCUUCUUGUGGUUAGAACUACAGUUGAGGAAUUUGGCAGGCGCUAUGUUGAUGACUAAUAGAGUUUUGCCAAGAAAAUGCACUGGUCAUAGCAAACACCCUCUUCCAACAACACAAGAGAAGACUCUACACAUGGACAUCACCAGAUGGUCAACCAAAGAUGAAGAAGCUCUAUACAGUCAACAAAAACAAGACCAGGAGCUGACUGUGGCUCAGAUCAUGAACUCCUUAUUACCAAAUUCAGACUCAAAUUGAAGAAAGUAGGGAAAACCGCUAGACCAUUCAGGUAUGACCUAAAUCAAAUCCCUUAUGAUUAUACAGUGGAAGUGAGAAAUAGAUUUAAGGGCCUAGAUCUGAUAGAUAGAGUGCCUGAUGAACUAUGGAAUGAGGUUCGUGACAUUGUACAGGAGACAGGGAUCAAGACCAUCCCCAUGGAAAAGAAAUGCAAAAAAGCAAAAUGGCUGUCUGGGGAGGCCUUACAAAUAGCUGUGAAAAG
ensembl:lincRNA